rnacentral:rRNA from 1 species
ACGGCCAGAGAUGGUCGCCCCCUUGUGGUCGGUGUACAGGUGGUGCAUGGUUGUCGUCAGCUCGUGUCGUGAGAUGUUGGGUUAAGUCCCGCAACGAGCGCAACCCUCGUUCUAUGUUGCCAGCGCGUUAUGGCGGGGACUCAUAGGAGACUGCCGGGGUCAACUCGGAGGAAGGUGGGGAUGACGUCAAAUCAUCAUGCCCCUUAUGUCUGGGGCUUCACGCAUGCUACAAUGGCCGGUACAAAGGGCUGCGAUACCGUAAGGUGGAGCGAAUCCCAAAAAGCCGGUCUCAGUUCGGAUUGAGGUCUGCAACUCGACCUCAUGAAGUCGGAGUCGCUAGUAAUCGCAGAUCAGCAACGCUGCGGUGAAUACGUUCCCGGGUCUUGUACACACCGA